rnacentral:rRNA from 1 species
GAUGAACGCUGGCGGCGUGCCUAAUACAUGCAAGUCGAGCGAAUGGAUUAAGAGCUUGCUCUUAUGAAGUUAGCGGCGGACGGGUGAGUAACACGUGGGUAACCUGCCCAUAAGACUGGGAUAACUCCGGGAAACCGGGGCUAAUACCGGAUAACAUUUUGAACCGCAUGGUUCGAAAUUGAAAGGCGGCUUCGGCUGUCACUUAUGGAUGGACCCGCGUCGCAGUAGCUAGUUGGUGAGGUAACGGCUCCCCAAGGCAACGAUGCGUAGCCGACCUGGGAGGGUGAUCGGCCACACUGGGACUGAGACACGGCCCAGACUCCUACGGGAGGCAGCAGUAGGGAAUCUUCCGCAAUGGACGAAAGUCUGACGGAGCAACGCCGCGUGAGUGAUGAAGGCUUUCGGGUCGUAAAACUCUGUUGUUAGGGAAGAACAAGUGCUAGUUGAAUAAGCUGGCACCUUGACGGUACCUAACCAGAAAGCCACGGCUAACUACGUGCCAGCCGCCGCCGUAA